UGAAAACAAGAGUUGGGCAUUUAACCGACUGAGCCACCCAGGCACUCCAACAACUCACAUAUUCCUCAAUGGGGCAUGUUCAAUAAUUUCCCAGGUCUUUGUCACUUCCACUCCUUCAGCUGCAAUAUGCUUCCUUCUUCUUCUUCCCACCCUGACUCCCUCUCAUUCUUUCUUCCUUCCAGGUGGCUCUCCCUCUGGACAUUCCUCAUUGGUCCCUCUGCACAAGGUGCUUAAUAUAAUAUGGGAUGCUACUUCAGGAUCUCCUACAUCCUAACCCUGUAGAUUGCAGACACAGCUAACAGAGCCCGCCUUCCUGGAUCCAUGGUCAACGAGCAUGCUCACAGUCCGGUGCAGCCCAUGCCCCGCCCACUGCAGUGCUGGAACCAGGUCAUCCUUCCCACUACCUGAUGUAUAAAUAAAUAAAUAACUGUGAAAAAAAAUCCAA